GGAGUGGCAGACGGGUGAGUAACGCGUGGGAACAUACCCUUUCCUGCGGAAUAGCUCCGGGAAACUGGAAUUAAUACCGCAUACGCCCUACGGGGGAAAGAUUUAUCGGGGAAGGAUUGGCCCGCGUUGGAUUAGCUAGUUGGUGGGGUAAAGGCCUACCAAGGCGACGAUCCAUAGCUGGUCUGAGAGGAUGAUCAGCCACAUUGGGACUGAGACACGGCCCAAACUCCUACGGGAGGCAGCAGUGGGGAAUAUUGGACAAUGGGCGCAAGCCUGAUCCAGCCAUGCCGCGUGAGUGAUGAAGGCCUUAGGGUUGUAAAGCUCUUUCACCGGAGAAGAUAAUGACGGUAUCCGGAGAAGAAGCCCCGGCUAACUUCGUGCCAGCAGCCGCGGUAAUACGAAGGGGGCUAGCGUUGUUCGGAAUUACUGGGCGUAAAGCGCACGUAGGCGGAUAUUUAAGUCAGGGGUGAAAUCCCAGAGCUCAACUCUGGAACUGCCUUUGAUACUGGGUAUCUUGAGUAUGGAAGAGGUAAGUGGAAUUCCGAGUGUAGAGGUGAAAUUCGUAGAUAUUCGGAGGAACACCAGUGGCGAAGGCGGCUUACUGGUCCAUUACUGACGCUG
rnacentral:rRNA from 1 species